CAAUAGCGUAUAUUAAAGUUGUUGCAGUUAAAAAGCUCGUAGUUGGACCUUGGACCUGGACAGGCGGUCCGCCUCACGGCGAGUACUGUCUUGCUGGGUCUUUCCUCUUGGUGAUCUGUUGUUUCGGCAGCAGGGAACCAGGACCUUUACUUUGAAAAAAUUAGAGUGUUCAAAGCAGGCUCGACGCCGGAAUAUAUUAGCAUGGAAUAAUAAAAUAGGACGUGCGGUUCUAUUUUGUUGGCUUUUGGAAUCGCCGUAAUGAUUAAUAGGGACAGUCGGGGGCAUUAGUACUCACAUGCUAGAGGUGAAAUUCUUGGAUUUUGUGAAGACUAGCUUCUGCGAAAGCAUUUGACAAGGAUGUUUUCAUUAA
rnacentral:rRNA from 1 species